rnacentral:rRNA from 1 species
UACGGAGGGUGCAAGCGUUAAUCGGAAUUACUGGGCGUAAAGCGCACGCAGGCGGUCUGCCAAGUCGGAUGUGGAAUCCCCGGGCUUAACCUGGGAACUGCAUCCGAAACUGGCAGGCUAGAGUCUUGUAGAGGGGGGUAGAAUUCCAUGUGUAGCGGUGAAAUGCGUAGAGAUGUGGAGGAAUACCGGUGGCGAAGGCGGCCCCCUGGACAAAGACUGACACUCAGGUGCGAAAGCGUGGGGAGCAAACAGG